GACGAACGCUGGCGGCGUGCUUAACACAUGCAAGUCGAACGCUGAAGCUUGGUGCUUGCACUGGGUGGAUGAGUGGCGAACGGGUGAGUAAUACGUGAGUAACCUGCCCUUGACUCUGGGAUAAGCCUGGGAAACUGGGUCUAAUACUGGAUACGACAUGUCACCGCAUGGUGGUGUGUGGAAAGGGUUUUAGUGGUUUUGGAUGGGCUCACGGCCUAUCAGCUUGUUGGUGGGGUAAUGGUACACCAAGGCGACGACGGGGAGCCGGCCUGAGAGGGGGACCGGCCACACGGGGACUGAGACAGGGCCCAGACUCCAACGGGAGGCAAGAGGGGGAAAUAGUACACAGGGGGCGGGAGUCAGAUGCAGAGGCCGCGCGUGAGGGAUAACGGCCUUGGGGGUAAAAACCUCUUUGAGCACGGAAGGAGCGAAUGUGACGGUACGUGCAGAAGAAGCGCCGGCUAACUACGUG
rnacentral:rRNA from 1 species